rnacentral:rRNA from 1 species
GGAAUUUUCCGCAAUGGGCGAAAGCCAGACGGAGCAACGCCGCGUGAGGGAUGAAGGCCUCUGGGCUGUAAACCUCUUUUAUCAAGGAAGAAGAUCUGGCGGUACUUGAUGAAUAAGCCACGGCUAAUUCCGUGCCAGCAGCCGCGGUAAUACGGGAGUGGCAAGCGUUAUCCGGAAUUAUUGGGCGUAAAGCGUCCGCAGGCGGCCCUUCAAGUCUGCUGUUAAAAAGUGGAGCUUAACUCCAUCAUGGCAGUGGAAACUGUUGGGCUUGAGUGUGGUAGGGGCAGAGGGAAUUCCCGGUGUAGCGGUGAAAUGCGUAGAUAUCGGGAAGAACACCAGUGGCGAAGGCGCUCUGCUGGGCCAUCACUGACGCUCAUGGACGAAAGCCAGGGGAGCGAAAGGGAUUAGAUACCCCUGUAGUC